rnacentral:rRNA from 1 species
UGGGGAAUAUUGGGCAAUGGGCGAAAGCCUGACCCAGCAACGCCGCGUGAGGGAAGAAGGGUUUCGGCUCGUAAACCUCUGUCCUAUGGGACGAAGGAAGUGACGGUACCAUAGGAGGAAGCCCCGGCUAACUACGUGCCAGCAGCCGCGGUAAUACGUAGGGGGCGAGCGUUGUCCGGAAUGAUUGGGCGUAAAGGGCGCGUAGGCGGCCUGAUAAGUCUGGAGUGAAAGUCCUGCUUUCAAGGUGGGAAUUGCUUUGGAUACUGUCGGGCUUGAGUGCAGGAGAGGAAAGCGGAAUUACCGGUGUAGCGGUGAAAUGCGUAGAGAUCGGUAGGAACACCAGUGGCGAAGGCGGCUUUCUGGACUGAAACUGACGCUGAGGCGCGAAAGCGUGGGGAGCAAACAGGAUUAGAUACCC